GCUCAUGAGCAGGUCACUGCUUCUCUAAACGACAAAUCGUUUUGAUACUAAGUGCUGACUGAUUUCCAUACCGCCGCAGUUAGCCAUUUGUCUUGCCGCUCAUCCGCCAUUUAGCUUUUCUUCCUCAGAAAUCGAAAAGACAGAGAAAAAUGCCGAGCAAGAAGAACAGGAAAAGAAACAGACCAGAGCGACCCACAAUCCACCCGAAAAACAAAUACGCAGAGAACCCACCUGAUUUCGCUCUCUUAGCUUCUCUUCAUCCUUCUUUUAAACCCUUCGUCUUCUAUUCUCGCGACGGUAGACCCAAAAUUGAUUGGACCGACUUUAACUCAACUCGAGAACUCACUCGGAUCCUUCUCCUCCACGAUCACGGCCUCAAUUGGUGGAUUCCUGAUGGGCAGCUCUGCCCUACAGUUCCAAACAGAUCCAAUUACAUCCAUUGGAUUGAAGAUCUUCUUUCCUCUGAUAUCAUUCCGAAGAAUAAUGCUAAUGGAGAGAUUGUGAGAGGCUUUGAUAUAGGCACUGGAGCAAACUGCAUUUACCCGCUCCUUGGUGCAUCUAUUAAAGGCUGGAGUUUUGUUGGAUCAGAUGUAACUGAUGUAGCACUAGAAUGGGCAGAGAGAAAUGUUAAAGAUAAUCCUCAUAUUUCAGAACUAAUUGAGAUUAGAAAGGUUGCAAACUGUCAAGUCACCUUUUCUGCUGAAGAUUUGCAUAAUUUAGAAUCUGUAAACGGUGGAAGUGAGAUGGGUAUGGAUAGAAGUGUGGUUGAGGAGGCAGGGUCAUUUGCUUUGCCGGUGGAUGCAAAUAGGAAUUAUAACAGACCACCUGUACUUCUUGGUGUGGUCAGGGAUGAUGAGAAGUUUGACUUCUGCAUGUGUAAUCCUCCAUUUUUUGAGACCAUGGAGGAAGCGGGACUAAACCCAAAAACUUCUUGUGGUGGGACUCCUGAAGAGAUGGUUUGUCCUGGUGGAGAAAAGACUUUUAUUUCUCGAAUCAUUGAAGAUAGUGCAGUACUAAAGGAUUCCUUCAGGUGGUACACUUCAAUGGUUGGAAGGAAAAAAAAUCUCAAGUUUCUAAUGUCGAAACUUAGGGAAGUUGGAGUCACCAUAGUAAAAACAACUGAAUUUGUCCAGGGACAAACAUGUCGAUGGGGGCUUGCUUGGUCUUUUAUGUCUCCUACCAAGAAGAUAAUAUCACCUCAUGUAGCAGAAAAGAGUAUCCUCUCUUUCACACUUGAGGGACUUCAACGUCAAUUCAGUGCCAUUGAUGUAUUACAAUCCAUUGAGUCCUUUUUCUGCACCAGUGGUGCAUCUUGUAAACUAAAUGCCACAUCAUUUUCUGUUGAUAUUACUGCAUCAAAUGAUCAAUGUGAUGCAAUCCUAAAGAAUGAAAGGAUACAUUGUGAUGAAAUUGACAACUGCAAUCCUUUGGAAGGGACAUCCAAUAUUUCAAGUAACUUGUGUUGUCGCGUUUCGGUUUUUCAACAAAUCCCGGGAACCCUUCUGGUAAAAGGAUCAUUGCAACAUAAAGAUAGCCCACUUUCAGGACUAUUCUCAUCCAUUAUCCAACAUUUGGAGGAAAUGUUGAGGCACAAAUUUUGUAAAUCAAAGCUCACUGCCAAUUAAAUCAAGUCUGUUUUCUGAUUUUGCCAUAUACCAGAAUUUAGGAUCAAAUGGGCCUAAACAACAUGUACCGUUUAUCAAGUCGGCAGGUUCAAAGAAAUUGGAUUUCUAUGAAAGAAAACAAAUGCUGGCUUUGAUUACAAGUCCGUGUGGACACAAAUGUCUCUUAUUUAGCAUUGAAGAUUGCUGUCUUUUCUAAGCUAUGGCGGUUCAACUUUGCUUUCUGGAUAGGGACGACCACUGUUUGGUUUCAAACCAUAACCAAAUUGAAACCAAAUUAGUCAAAACCGGCACUAAACUGUGGUCAGUAGUUCUUGUUUUGAAGCCGUAACUGAAAAUAUGUAUUUAUUUGGUUCUUCACUUUUUCAAACCGGAACAGGCAGCUUCAGUUUAAAAUCAGUUCCGGUUUGAAACCAUGAAAAAUAUGUUUUUAAGGAAUUUUCAAUUUAUUGUUUUGUUUUAUUA